CUGCUAGUAACUUGCCUGCUUUGUGAUAAGCAAAUUUUGCUAUCUUCUAAUUCUGAACACAUCAGAAAUCACCAACCCCUCCUGACAUAUCUUUCCAGUUUGGGGUAGUUUUGCAUGGUCCCCAAUAAACUCAACGUGGGAUGCCUCUCCAAUUUCUUUCACAUCAGGGCAAUUAACCUCUACCAGGCCACAGGGAGGUUC